UACGUAUGUCGCGAGCGUUAUCCGGAAUUAUUGGGCAUAAAGGGCAUCUAGGCGGCAUAUCAAGUCAGGGGUGGAAACUUACGGCUCAACCGUGAGCUUGCCUUUGAAACUGAUAUACUAGAGUGUUGGAGAGGUGGGCGGAACUACACGAGUAGAGGUGAAAUUCGUAGAUAUGUGUAGGAAUGCCGAUGAUGAAGAUAGCUCACUGGACGACAACUGACGCUGAAGUGCGAAAGCUAGGGGAGCAAACAGGAUUAGAUACCCUGGUAGUCCUAGCUGUAAACGAUGAUCACUGGGUGUGGGCAUGAAGAGUGUCUGUGCCGAAGCAAAUGCGAUAAGUGAUCCGCCUGGGGAGUACGACCGCAAGGUUGAA
rnacentral:rRNA from 1 species